AUGCCAACUUCCCAGCCUCUCAUCUCAAGGGACAAAAGGGAAAAUGAAUCCUCCACUUCUCGCAACUCCCAGGGAAAAUUUCCCCGCGUCCUUUUGUGCAUCUCUGCUACGCCGAGGACCUCCUGUUUCCCCACAUUUCGCCCAGGUGCAGCGGGAAAGAACGCCUUUCGCUCCUUAAGUUCAAGCUUCGGGGAGUUGGUGCCAUGGCAGGUUUCAGUAGUCGCUUCCACUUGCCCUGUAUGUGGCACUUUCCCAUCUCUGCACGCCGGAGCAGUGCCGCCAGCUGAUUCCCCUUCAGAUGCUGCAGGCUCCCUCACUCCGUCUUCACGGUGGAAAUCUCUGCUGCGUGCAUUCGCACUGAAAUCUGCUCCGCAUUUAUGCAACUCGCACAGUUUACCACCGGUGUCAUCUCCUACCUCUUCAUUCAUUUGAAAUCUGCUAAAGAAGGGGAAUAAGAAGCGCAGAGACUUAAAGAGGCAAAAAGUGGCUUCUAGCUAGGAAUCCUUUUUUCUGCAGAGAACGAAGAAAGUAUUUUGGAAUUUUUAUUAAAGACAUAUUUUCACAUCAAAUUUUUAAUGCGGUCUUUCUUACAUAUUAGCCUUUUAGGUUGCUGAAGCUGGGGGAGAGCCAAGCUUUUGCUGGGAAGAAAUACAGACCUCGUGUUUUUUACCAGCUGAGGAAUCUCUCGGUCCUUACUGCGACACAAAACCUCUUCUUUCCCUCUGACGGAGGGAAGCGUGGAUGUCAGAGCUCUUUUUCCAAGAAAUGCCACUGUUCUCAGGUGCUGGUGGCUUGGUGCCUGCCCAGGCAGAGAGAGUUCUCGUGCUGGAUCUCGGCUUUUGCGCGCUAGGGGGAAAACUGAAGCAGAUUUCUGUGCUGUUGCUGUUGUUGCCGUAAGAGACUUUGGUACGAGGUGAAGCCAGCAACACCUCUUGGGAAAUAUUAAAUGCUUCAUGGAGGAAGGCCUAAAGAGGCCAAUAUCACAGCCCUUUUCCCAUGCAAGUCCUUCCAUUAAUUUCAGAGACUGCUCACAUAAGUACAGCCAGCGGGGUCAGGCCUUUAUUUACACACAGUAGCACCUCCAAAGGCUAAAGGAUGUCAUUUGCAGUCAUGCUCCUGUUUCACUUCCUACCUCUACCUCUGAUUUACUGGGCAACCUUGAGUAAAUCACUUAACCUCUCUAGGAUCAAGUUUACCCAAGUGCAAGAACAUUGCGAGCUUCCAACAAUAUUUGCAAAGUGCUUCGCAGUCCAUGGAGGAAAGAUGUACUUACAAAUGAUCAGUAUAGCUGCUUUCAAGGAAAUAAAGCUCAGUUUCUGUGUUUAAGCGUGUAUCCC
rnacentral:lncRNA from 1 species